GCGGUGACAGAUCUUCGACACGGCAGGUGCACUGUAAUACCGCUUAAGGGAGGAAAAUUCCAAGUUUAGUAACUAAUUACUGCAGGACAGGCAGGUUAUUUUCCAAGGCAAAUGCCUAAUCAAAGACGCAUCUGACCCUUUCGAUUCCCAACAGCGCGCCGGAAAGUUCAACUCGUGCAGCAAACAGCAUCCUGAUCAGGCACAUCCCUCACCCCACCUCGCCGUGCUUCCUCCCCUUUCCUCCUCUCACAACAAAGGCACCAGCCCUGCCUGACAGCUGCUCCGGGAGUUCGCUGGCACCGCGAACCUGAGCCAUGCCGUAAGACCCUCCGCUCACACACCCACCCAGGGGCACUCCUCGCUCCCUGCCGCACAGGCAGCCCCGCACGCGUGGCCAGCUGCCGGCUCCCGCAGGAUCCCGGCCGCGCUGCCGGGAUGGGACGUGCCCGGGAGAGACGCGCCGGGCCCGGCGGAGCCCCCCGCGCACCCGCCCCCGGGGCAGACAGUCUCUGGCCACGGAGGAGACAGGCUGAUGAAACGCUGUCAAAGUCAAUCCCGGCUCACUUUUUGGAUGGUUUAAUUCCAAUGGAGCAUAAAUCACCCCAGGACGGUUAAUAAGUUUAGCCAGGCGUGCUGUUCUCCCUAAUAAUACAUUAUAAUUAUGCAUCUGUUUUAAACGCAAUCAGAUUAAGUCACCGGAAAAGGCACAAAUCGGAAUUUCGCCCGACUAAGAAGAGCGCCUUUCCGCAGGUACGGCCAGGAGAGGAGCAGGUGGGCAGCCUGGUCUCCAGCCCAGCGGCGCUACGCUCCCCGCGGCCGCCCAGCGCAGCCCGGCAGCGCACGGCAACUUCCCGCGGGUGCUCGGUCCCGGCGGAGCGGGGGAACGGGAUGGGAGGCGGCCGGGCACCCCGCUGACACCGCGCAUAAGGGACCAGCCCAGGACAUGCCAACUUGGAUGGGCGAGUCCCCUCCCGCUGCGUGGGGCUGGAGAGGACCGAGUCCGAGCCGACAAAGCCCCGGGCACCAGGACGGGGGAGGCCGAAGCUCCGCUCCCGACAGACACCAAUUCUCAAUGUCCUUCUGGACCUACUGCCAAGAUCCCAGUCAUCGUGACUUAGUCCUCCUUGCUGCAGUGGAAUUGCUGAAUUCACUCACAAGGGGAAACGUAAAGAAGAGUUUGUGUCAAUGAGAAUGUGAUGCUGGGUGAAAAUUCAGCACAGAGCAAACAGAAUGGGAGGAAAUGGAGAUUGAAGAAAGGCAGCUGGAAGCACAGAAGUCAAUUAUUGCUGCAGCAUUUACAGUGUUCCUCCCACCAUAUGCAGCCGUUUGCUGACUAGAAGGCCUUCAGAGUUUCGUAUCAAUUGGAGCCAAUGUUAUGUGGAUUGGUGCCCAGCCCACUUCCCAGCUGAAGUUUGGAGUUGUGAUCUCAGCAGCCCAAGAGAUGUGAAGAAGGCUAGACUGUAUCCCCACCACCUGCUGUAUUCUGGCCAAUCACAUGACAAAUGGAGACUGCUACAUCUUCUUCAUCUUAGCUUUUGGCUGAUUUUGGAGUUAGCCCUGCUUUGGGGCUGACCCUCAGAGGUCCCUUCCAGCCUAAGUUAUUAUGUGAUUAUGACACAGUAACACCUGCUACUCAUAUUUUAAAUGCCUGCAGUAGUCCUUGCUAAUUUUCUGCAAGAAAAAUUGUAGACAAUAUUUUUGGGAAUUCUACAAUGAAUAAGGAGGUAGGUAUAAAUAAUA